rnacentral:lncRNA from 1 species
UAUACCUCUCGUUUUAGUCAGGAAAUCCAUAAUGAAAUAAGGCGUUUUUUCAAGAGACCGAUAUAAACGUUGCUGAGUAAACCGGCAUUGAUAUGUUAAUUAGCACGUAUAUCUAUUUCGUAAGUGAUAAAGCAUUAAACAGCAUUAUAUAGUAUUUCCUGAGCUUGUAUUUCGACUUACUCAUCUAAUUUUAACUUAAUCAUUUACCUGUAACUUAUUCAAUGAUAAAGAAAUAUUUACAAUGAAACGAAACUUAGAUGUAGUUGCGGACAGAACAUUACUUCCUUGAACAAAUGACAGAAAGAAAAUAAUAUCAUAUGAUGUCUGCGGUGAGUCACUUUCUAAAUAUAACAGACAUUGGCUGUACACAAAGUUUUGCCCAAAAAUAGAACUUGAAUACAUAUUUAUAGUUCUUGAAUAUAUAUUCAUAAAAUAACCACUUUUGUUAAAAAGUCUAAUGUUAAUUCAAUUUAACUCAAAGCCCUUCUUUUGCAAGAAGACCACAACCUUGAUUUUUAUAAAUUUGUUUACCUUUUCUUCGUUAUCAUUGCUAUUAUCAUCUUUAUGAUGACUUGUUAACGUGUUGCUAUAUACACUGACCAAACAGCUGUUAUAAAUGCAAAUGUCUUACAAUUUUUUCUUUGUAAUUAUAAAUAUGAUACGUGAUUGACAAUAUUUAUUCACUGAGAUUAACCAUUGAACUUUCAUCUCUUUUUACCCUGCUGCUCCAGAUUUUUAUAUUUUUAUAUAAAAUUUCUUUGUGUCGUUGUGUUCAUAGCUAAGUAGUUAUUAAUAACGAAUUCGGCCAAGCCUUAUAUAAACUGCAUUUAAAUUCUGACGAACAUAAGUGUCGAAACGUUAGUUGCUUAUGUCAAAAAUCACAAAAUAAGAGCUUUAAUUAACAAUCAUAUUCUUUUAAUUGGAAAUAACUAGCAUAACUUGACAGCCUGUAAGUAAGUGUUUUAAUUAGUCAGUCAAUCAUUAGAACGUCAAGGGUUUCCUAGUCUAAAUUUAAGGUAUGGCUAUAAAUAUUUUGUAAGUUUAUUAUGACUGCUUUGUCAUAAGUACCUAUUAAUUCUUUUAAUAUAUAAAACUUUGACACAAAAUCACAUGCACGUGUGCUCACGAGAAUUUCAGAAUUCCCGUGCCUGAUAACUGGACAUUCCUGGUAGUUUAUUUUAGAAUAUUUACAUUCUUCCUAUUCAUUCAGUGUUCAUUUUGCCUGAAAGGAAAUACGCUAUAUUUACUAUAACGCUGCUUAGGUGAUAAUCUGUCGCCAUUUUUUUGACGACGCUACUAUGUAGUCAAGGAGAACGUUCCUUAGAUUACGUCGCAGGCUGUCUAGUGAACUGAAUGACCAGGAAGCUGAUUCUAAUGAAAAGACAUACAUAAUGUACAUUUUGUAUAAUGUAAAUAUAAGAACUGAAAAAUAAUUUAAACCAUGAAUCACUAGCGCAAUUCAUCUAUGUCCCGAUCAUAGUCUGUCUUUCGUUUCGCAUGAAUUCCGAAAACAAUUAAAUCAUUUCUUAAAUAUUGCUAUAUAAUAACGAAGUAAAACAUUUUUUAUAGUAAAUGAGAAUAUACCGUUUACAAUUUUCAUUGAUAUAUGUUUACAAGGUUCUUUGAAAUAUGUAAAAAACAUAAUAAACAAUUUAAGUUAAUUUACAUUUAUUUAAAGCAAAUAGAAAUUUAUCGAAAAGAAGUGAAAACUUUUUUAAGUUAAGAAAUAAUAGCUUGGAAAACAGUUGGCGGUCACAGGACAAAUUCAGUCGUCUAUACAAAAGCUUACUCCAAGAAGCAUUGAAACAAUCUUAAAUAUAAUAUAUGUACGUUUUUACGAUUAUAUUAACGAUCACAAUCAUGAAGUGCAGUGUGGUGGCCGUUAAAAGUAUCCUCGUACUCGGAUUCAGUGUUGCUUAUAUUUUCUGGUCCUUUAGAAUCACGAAGUUCAUUCAAUAUCUAUGUAAUAGAUUUCCGCUUAAGCCGGUUCCAGGGGGGCGUGAGGGUCGUUGUACUUUCUAUUACCCCUCACGAACAGACUCAGUCAAGCCGAGUCUGCUGUUAUUAUGCUUGGUUGCAUUCUGUUCUUCCAAAGGGUCAUCUUACAGACUUUAUUUUAUCUUAAAUCGGUUGUUUCCAUUCAACGAUCAGUCACUAGGAUAUGAAAACAAUUGGGACCUGAAACUGGUUCUAGACAUCCACAAACUUAGAUUUAACAGAUGUAAAAUGUUGUGUUAUACAAUAUCUUCCUACUGAGCUAAGCCCUAAAAUCAAAUGAAAAUAGUCUGGUUGUAUGACACGAACCUCAGAAAUAAGAACACUACUGUACUCUACAAAGACUUAUCAGAAAUUAGAGCAAAAAGAAAACUCAUUAGGCAUUCGCAAAAAAAUCUCAUGUAAUACAGUAAUUCUUCUUCUGAACCCCCCAAAGAGAUGCUACAUAUUAGUUUUUUAAAUUGUUUUAUUAGAAAAUGAGAAUAAAGAAACUGAUGAAGGCUGGAUGAUUCAAGUUUGCACAAUAUUUUGACUUUGCCUUUAUAAUCUUUUGGACCAUUAAUCACAUUGGGUUAAUAAUCUCUUUUCUUAAGGGCGUCUGUUAUAAUUACCUUUUUUGUAAAUAUAGUUCAAGCCGAUGCACGAGAAAAGUUUGGAGGCGGCAGUUAAAAUGGAUGUAGUGGUUCAAACCGCAGUCGGUCAGGUUUUCACUUAAUGACGAAAUGGAUAAUUCUGCUUCAUACGUAUAGAGAUGCUCAUACCAUUUGAAAAGAAGAUGGUAAGAGUGAGGGAGAGAGAGCACCAGUUACAUCGAGGUAGGACGUACGAAAAAUUGUAUUCCUUCUGGCAAGUUUCAGACGAAAAGUGUGCCGUGUGAGCGUCUACUAGAUGAAUUGCGAUUCAAGAAUGGACACUAGCGGCUAAAUAUGAGCUCACAGAACGUCUAUUGUGAUAAAACAAUAAUGGAAGAAAUAACAUAUGAAGAUGAUACGCUACACGGACACUUGUAAUGUACAGGGUGAAGUGGCUUCUUGGCUCCGCAUUAUCGGGGACAACGUACAGGAACAGCACGGGAAAAGUUUGGAGGCGACAGUUAAAUUGGAUGUAGUGGUUCAAACCCCGGUCGGUCAGGUUCUUCACUUAAUGACAAAAUGGAUCAUUCUGUUUCAUACGUAUAGAGAUUGUUUCAUUUAAAAAAAGACAGUUGGUAAGAGUGAGGUAGACAGAGCACCUGUUACAUAAAGGUAGGACGGAUGAAAAAUUGUCUUCCUGGCAAGUUUCAAACGAAAAGUGUGCCGCAUGAGCGUCUACUAGAUGAAUUGCGAUUCAAGAAGGGAUACUAGUGAGUGAUAGCGUGUCACUUUUUAACUGUGACUGAUUGAUAUUUGAAUGAAGUUUGGAGAACAUUGUUUAGAUUAUAGAACAAGUUGAUUGAAAAUCGUGCUAUUUGUGGGAAAAGCAUCAAAUUAGGUAGAAAGUGAGGGUAUGGUGUCUUUUAUUCAAAAGUGAAAGGAAGUUCGAAAAAAGUCAAAAUGGCCGAAAUUAUUCAAAAUGGCCGCCAUUCAUAAAAACAUAUAAAGGAAAGUAAUGAUCAAACACACUCAAUAACUUUUUGGCCAACUUAUCUGUGUUUUUAAUCAUUUUUAUGCAAAUAUUGAUUAUAGACACUUUUAUUAAUAGAUGUCAACUAUUUAUUGUUUUUCUUUACUAUAUAAUUACAGAAAUUGAGUUACCUUCCCUUUGUUGCAGUUUCGCUAUUUUUAAGGCAGACAGCUUGAUAUAUUUAAAAAAUCGCAUACUGUAGAGAAUACAACUUAAUAUUCGGACUAAAGUGCUUCAUGUGUGUUGUCAUUUAGUUUGUUUCGCCACAUAAAUUGAAAUAAACACCUUUCCUUAUAUGAAUAUUGACUACUUUUCUACCAUGUAGUAAUAUUACCAUAGAACUUAUUAUAAUAGUAACAACAAAUCAUUCCAUAACAUCUCUUUUUCACCAACGGUAAAUAUAUGUACCUUUUGGGAUUUAGUUUGGGUAUUUCGUCAACAUAGUUCUCGAUAACUCCCAAUCAAUGCACACCAUUUGAAAGUGAUUGCUUAGAUAAAUGACAUCCGACCUUCAACAUGGUGCUCAAGUCAGUGCAACGCAGCCAGAUUAUCAAUGGCCACGGUUCUAGUAGCUUGAAACAUACAUGUAGUUUGGUCAAAAGGCUGAAUAAUGUCGUUCUGGAACUUCGUCAGGUAAACCUGGUUUUUCAUUAGAGCAUAUUUAGAUGACUGAAUUUUUCUGUAUGUAGACUGCAGUCCCUCAAGGAUUUGUUCUUUUCUGGAUGGCGCUCUUACCUUAUAUCAGUUACCGUCUCCAAAACCUUUAAAAUGAGAGGGAGGUGGAAUACAAGCAUGUUGUUUUUCUGGCUGUUUGUUCUAGCCUAGGUUUUUUAUUUAUUGCAUUUGCACAUUUUAAAUAUCUUUGGUUCAUUACCUAAAUUGAUGGAAUGUAUUUAUAUAUUUUGCUGUUAAUGAUUCGAGUUCUUCCAGGAAUUUCUUAAAAUGUCAUGCCCGCAUCUUCUGUUGCAUGAGUCAAAUCAACAAAACAGGUGGUUUUAACAUGACGUUCGAUAACAUUCGUAAGAAUAACCAAUUUGAUCUUAGUGAUGUGUCUGUGUAAGUGUGUAGCAUUCCGUAAGUUUUCACUGAUAAAUCUAUAUAGUUGUUGUGAAACACGUUGACGUAAAUAUGAUCGGUGCGUUCAUGUGCAUUUUUCUAAAGCAUUGUCAAAAACUUCUUCUUCAAUAUUUGUCUAACAAAAAUCUAUUUCUUCAGGAUUUAUUUUGACGAAAGUUCAAAUAGUCUUUUAUAAGUUACAAGUAACACUUUUCACCAUAAUCAGUUGUAAUCAACAGCUCGAUAGUGAAUUAUUAUUUAGUAGAAUUAUCCUAGUCACAAAAUAUAGUCACAAAGUAUAUAUACCUCUCUUAAUCAGAAAUCCAAAAUGGAAUUCUAUGAUUUUUUUCACUCAAAUGACCGAUAUAAACGGCGAUGAUUAUUUAAAGUGACCUUGAUAUCAGCCCUUAUAUCAAUUUCGCAAGUGAUAAAAUGGUAGCAUGCAUUAAUGCCUGUGUUGUAACUUAAUGAGUUAAAUGUUUUUUGAUCCGAACAUUACUACCUUGGUAGAUUUGUAUGCACAGAAGAAUGGAAGCA